rnacentral:snRNA from 1 species
GUGCUUGCUUCCGUGGUACAUCCCCUAAAGUCAAAAAGAUAGAGAAGAUUAGGAUGCUCCUCUCCCAAAGAUGACAUGCAUUCAUGAAACAUUUCAUAGAUUUAA